rnacentral:lncRNA from 1 species
GACAGGUUAAUUAAUACUCUUUGCCCUAUUCCUCUUCCUCAGCACUAUCCGUUCUGACCUCCUCAUAAUCCUUAUCAAGGGCAGUCAUGUCCUCACAGGCUUCAGAAAAUUCUCCUUCCCUCAUGCCUUCACCCACAUACCAAUGAACAAAGGCAUGCUUGGCACACAUCAGGUUAAACCUGUGGUCCAGGUGAGCCCAGGCCUCAGCAAUGGUUGUGGUGUUGCUCAGCAUACACACAUCUCGCUGUACUUUGGCCAGGUCUCCACCAGGUACCCUAGUGGGAGACUGGCAGUUAAUGCCAACUUUAAAGCCAGUGAGGUACCAGUCCACCAACUGGAUGGUAUGCUUGGUCUUGAUGGUGACAAUGGCAGCACUGACAUCUUUGAGAACCACACCACCAUGGUACAACAGGCAAUAAGCCGUGUAUUUAUCAUGUUGAGGGUCACAUUUCACCAUCUGGACAGCUGGCUCAAAGAAUCCAUUGGUGAUCUCUGCUACAGUAAACUGUUUAUAGUAGGUUUUCUCAGCAGAGAUAACAGGAGCAUAUGUGGCAAGAGGGCACCAGAUUGGUCUGGAAUUCUGUCAGAUCAGCAUUUAGGGCUCUAUCAAAUCUGAGAGAAGCAAUGAUGGAGGACACACUCUGGCUAAUAUGGCGGUUAAGUUUAGUGUAGGUUGGUGUUCUAUAUAGAGGUUUCUACCACGAAUUUCAUAGAUGGCCUCCUGGUCUACCACAAUCAGAGUGCUCCAGCUGGUAUGGGUAGUGAGGAUAGAGUGAUAGGGCUCAAUUACAGCUAUGGAAACCUGGGGGGCUCAGUAAAUGGAGAACUCCAGCUUGGACUUCUUGCCAGAAUUGACAAGAGAGAUGUUCUAUCAGUAGGGAGGUGACCACAGAACCA